CGCAAACACAGAAGAUAAGGCUGCAGAAGCUCGAGUCUCUGUCUUCCAAGGCCAAUUCCAAUGCCUCUGUCACUGUUGCUGACUCCAUCCCUGUCAACUAUGAUGACGGGUUCCUCAAGGGGCAUGGAACAUCUGAGCUUAAUGGUGAAGUCAUUGCUACUGUGUGUGGAGUAGUCGAGCGGGUUAACAAGCUAGUGUAUGUUCGAACUCUUCGAGCCAGGUACAAGCCAA